GCAUUAAAAUAACCUCCACACGACGUUGUAUUAGAAAACAUAUAAAAAUCUACUUACAUUUGAAAAGAAACUAAAAUAAUCUUGACAUAUCGAUGCUCCCAAGCGUUUAUCGAUGCUCCCAAAUAACAUUAAUAUUUGAGUAUAUAUGUGAAAAUAUAUGUGUGAAUGUGAAAAGGCUUGCUCCCGGCCUGUACAUUAGCUGACAGAGCAUUUGACCAAUUAUAAAUAACCUUAAAACAAAAUAACAAAAACAAUAACAAGUCUGUUUAGGAUAUGACAAACAGAGGUCCUUACAAAGGUAACCAGAAAAUGGUUAAAAACAAAUUGAACAAAGAUAAGUUGAAUAAUUAAUUUGAUUUGUAAAUAUCACAGUGCGAAUAAGCAGCUAUUUUUAGCCUCGAUGUGUUCCAGGGUGGAUUUGGAGUAGAAUUGGCAUUGUCCUUUCCGGUGGAAUAUUAUAGUUUUCGUUGAGAAUACCAACAGGCGACAGUGGAAUUGAAAUCUUUUGCAGUGGAAAUGAAACCUUU
rnacentral:sRNA from 1 species